ensembl:lncRNA
GUGGUUAGAGCAGGUAGCCUAGUGGUUAGAGCAGGUAGCCUAGUGGUUAGAGCAGGUAGCCUAGUGGUUAGAGCAGGUAGCCUAGUGGUUAAAGCAUUGGGCCAGUAACUGAAAGGUUGCAAGAUUGAAUCGCCGAGCUAACAAGGUAGAAAUCUGUCGUUCUGCCACUGAACAAGGCAGUUAACCCACUGUUCCUAGGCCGUCAUUGAAAAUAAGAAUUUGUUCUUAAUAUCUGACUUGCCUGAAGACAUUGUUACCUAUUUGUUAAUAAAGCCAGUUUGUUAUUUAGAAUGAUUUAUUUCUGUUUUUAGAGGGAGAGAAACCAAAAGCCUGCCGCCACCUCCCAGUUACGGUUGGCAACCAGCAUCUAUAGCAAGCAGUUUGCACUGUGAUGUCUUAGACUACUGUGCCUCUCAGGUGCAAUGUGACUGGUUGAUACAGGCUACAGUAAGAGCAUUUCCACCCUAAUUGAAGUCCAAGUUUCUCUUAGAAUAAAAACCUUAGUUUAACAACAGCUUCAGUAAGUAAUAUCGAAGUCGUGCACAAUUAUCAUUUUCUAUGUAGAUUUAUGUCCCCCGUUCAUUAAUGUGUAUAAACAGGAUGUGUGUGUAUAAACAGGAUAUGUGUGUAUAAACAGGAUGUGUGUGUAUAAACAGGAUGUGUGUGUAUAAACAGGAUAUGUGUGUAUAAACAGGAUAUGUGUGUAUAAACAGGAUAUGUGUGUAUAAACAGGAUAUGUGUGUAUAAACAGGAUGUGUGUGUAUAAACAGGAUAUGUGUAAAUAUAAACAGGAUGUGUGUGUAAAGUAUAAACAGGAUGUGUGUGUAUAAACAGGAUAUGUGUGUAUAAACAGGAUAUGUGUGUAUAAACAGGAUGUGUGUGUAUAAACAGGAUAUGUGUGUAUAAACAGGAUAUGUGUAAAGUAUAAACAGGAUAUGUGUGUAAAGUAUAAACAGGAUGUGUGUGUAUAAACAGGAUGUGUGUGUAUAAACAGGAUAUGUGUGUAUAAACAGGAUAUGUGUAAAGUAUAAACAGGAUAUGUGUGUAAAGUAUAAACAGGAUGUGUGUGUAAAGUAUAAACAGGAUAUGUGUGUAUAAACAGGAUGUGUGUAAAGUAUAAACAGGAUAUGUGUGUAAAGUAUAAACAGGAUAUGUGUGUAAAGUAUAA